CACCAGGUUGAUUCUGCCUGACGUGGACGCUAGUCUCACAGGUUAAACCAUGCAUGCGUAAGCGAAGCAGUUAUGUGGAGCGGUAAACGGCUCAGUAAUAGGCGAUUUAUUUGUUCUUUUGGGAUGGACAACAUCGGGAAACUGAUGGGAAAACAUCUAAGAUGCAUUUUUUUAAUGAGAUGUGUCGUAAACCUUCUGGUGCAAGAGAGUAAGACGCCUUCCUAUCAGUUAGUAAGUAGGGUAAGGGCCUACUUAGACGAAGACGGGUACGGGGAAUGAGGGUUUGAUUCCGGAGAGGGAGCCUGAGAGAUGGCUACCAGGACCAAGGUCAGCAGCAGGUGCGAAACUUAUCGAAGCCCGCAUUGGGGCGAUAGUGAGGAGACGUGAUAACUAUGGACGUGUAAAAACCAUUCUAAUAACUGGAGGCCAAGUCUGGUGCCAGCAGUCGCGGUAAUUCCAGCUCCAGUAGUGUCUAUGAUGAUUGCUGCGAUUAAAAAGUCCGUAGUCUAUCUGACUGACUUGCCUGUAAUGUGAUUGAUUAAAAGACGAGUAGGGCUAGGAAAGCAGAGAAUUAGGAGCGACCAAGGGCUAGAGUAUUGAAUGGCGAGGGGUGAAAUCUGAUGACCCAUUCAGGAGUGACAGAGGCGAAAGCGCUAGUCAGGGGCGAAUCCGAUGAUCAAGGACGUAGGCUAGAGAUUCGAAAACGAUUAGAGACCGGAGUAGUUCUAGCAGUAAACUAUGCCGACGCCGUGGUAUUUUUGUAUAGUGCUGCGGAAGAGAAAUCAAGUAAGGCUUUGGGGAGAGUACGCGCGCAAGCGAUAAAUUUAAAGGAAAUUGACGGAGGAACACCACAAGGAGUGGAGUGUGCGGCUUAAUUUGACUCAACGCGGGACAGCUUACCAAGCCCGAUAACCGUAAGAGCGUUGUACGCGAUAGGUUAAAGAGUGGUGCAUGGCUGCCAUCAACAGCUGAGGUGACUUUAGGGUUAAUUCCGGCAAGUAGUGAGACCCCUAUAAUUGAAUAGACAGGUGUCUUUAAGACACAGGAAGGAAGGGACUAGAGCAGGUCAGUGAUGCCCUUAGAUGGCUUGGGCUGCACGCGCACUACAGUGGUCAUUAUAAAAAGAAAGACAGUAGAUAUAAAGGUGAUCGAGAGGGAUUGAGCUUUGUAAAAGGCUCAUGAACGAGGAAUUGCUAGUAGUCGUAGGCUCAUUAAGAUACGACGAAUAUGUCCCUGUACCUUGUACACACCGCCCGUCGUUAUCAAAGAUGAAAUUUAGUGCGAACGAGCAUUAAGCGAGUAAGCGCUAAGUUUUAGAUCUGAUAAAGGUCGUAACAAGGCUACUGUAGGAGAACCUGUAGUAGGAUCAUACAGAUAACAAGUUUAUAAGUAUUGUUUUGUAUAUUUAUUCCUUACGCAAGGGAUCGUUUGGUUCUAUGUGCGAUGAAGGGCGAAACAGUUUUCGAUAUUGUAAGAUAUUAGUAAAUUGUCUUACGUCCCCGAAUUUGAUAGAGAUAUCAGAUUACUCCUUUGAAUUAAGCAUAUGAGUAAAGGAAGGAAAAGAAACUAACUAGGAUUCUCUUAUUAGUGGCGAAUGAACAGAGAAGAGCCCAAGUGUAAUCAAUACCAAUAUAUGUAUUGAAUUGUCAUAUAUAAUAUAAUUUAAUUGAAUCUGUUGGAAUACAGAGCUUUAAAGAGUUAUAGCCUCGUAGAUUAAAUUAAUUUGUAUCAAGAGUAGUUGUGCUCGGUAAUGCACAAUGAAAAUAGGUGGUAGUGUCCAUCUAAGGCUAAAUAUUACAUAGAGACCGAUAGUGGAUAAGUAAUGUGAACGAAUAUGGAAUAGAUUGAAAAAGUGAAAUUGCGUAAGGACCCGAAUGAAUCGGGACCGUCUUGAAACACGGACCAAGGAGA
rnacentral:rRNA from 1 species